GAUGAACGCUGGCGGCGUGCCUAAUACAUGCAAGUCGAGCGAACAGACGAGGAUCGUUCUCCUGUGUCGUUACCGGCGGAUGAGUGAGUAACACGUGGAUUACCUACCUAUAUGACUUGGAUAACUGCGGGUAACCGUAGCUCAGACUGGGUAAUAUAUUGAACCGCAUGGUUCUAGAGUGAAAGAUGGUUUUUCUGUGACUUAGAGAUCGAUCCGCGCGGCAUUAGCUAGCUGGUAAGGUAAGGCCUUGCCAAGGCGCCGAUGCGUAGCCGACCUGAGAGGGUGAUAGGCGACACGAGAACGUAGACAGGGUCCAGGCGACUACGAGAGGCAGCAGUAGGGAACCUUACGCAAUAGGCGAAAGUCUGACGGAGCAACGCCGCGUGAGUGAUGAAGGUCUUCGGAUAGUAAAAAUCUGUUAUUAGGGAAGAACAACUGUGUAAGUAAAUAUGCACAUAUUGACGGUACCUACACAGAAAGCAACGGCUAACUACGUG
rnacentral:rRNA from 1 species